GAGAUCAGUUGGGAUCCGCCCCCAGAGCCAAGCUGCAGGUCAUCUGCUGACUGCAAGGAUUGGCCAUAUUCAACAUGCAAAGUGACAGGAAAUGGCAUGAGAAGAUGCCUUUGUGAUGCAAACUUUCGAUGGGAUGGAUCAGCGCUGAAUUUUACUUCCGAAAAUACGAGUUAUCCAAAGCAAUUAGCCUCAAGAAGAAAGACAC
rnacentral:misc_RNA from 1 species